UACGAAGGGGCGUAGCGUUGUUCGGAAUUAGUCGUGGGCGUAAAGCGCACGUAGGCGGAUAAUUUAAGUCAGGGGUGAAAUCCCAGAGCUCAACUCUGGAACUGCCUUUGAUACUGGGUAUCUUGAGUAUGGAAGAGGUAAGUGGAAUUGCGAGUGUAGAGGUGAAAUUCGUAGAUAUUCGCAGGAACACCAGUGGCGAAGGCGG
rnacentral:rRNA from 1 species